rnacentral:sRNA from 1 species
CGACAGCAAAGUUGUGAAAACAAGAGCAGAAGGCGAAUGGCUCUCCUUCGAUGUAACUGAUGCUGUUCAUGAAUGGCUUCACCAUAAAGGUUACAAGCCACUCUCUCUUUUCCUCCCAAGUUGUUCAACAGGAACCUGGGAUUUAAAAUAAGCUUACACUGUCCCUGCUGCACUUUUGUACCAUCUAAUAAUUACAUCAUCCCAAAUAAAAGUGAAGAACUAGAAGCAAGAUUUGCAGGUAUUGAUGGCACCUCCACAUAUACCAGUGGUGAUCAGAAAACUAUAAAGUCCACUAGGAAAAAAAACAGUGGGAAGACCCCACAUCUCCUGCUAAUGUUAUUGCCCUCCUACAGACUUGAGUCACAACAGACCAACCGGCGGAAGAAGCGUGCUUUGGAUGCAGCCUAUUGCUUUAGAAAUGUGCAGGAUAAUUGCUGCCUACGUCCACUUUACAUUGAUUUCAAGAGGGAUCUAGGGUGGAAAUGGAUACACGAACCCAAAGGGUACAAUGCCAACUUCUGUGCUGGAGCAUGCCCGUAUUUAUGGAGUUCAGACACUCAGCACAGCAGGGUCCUGAGCUUAUAUAAUACCAUAAAUCCAGAAGCAUCUGCUUCUCCUUGCUGCGUGUCCCAAGAUUUAGAACCUCUAACCAUUCUCUACUACAUUGGCAAAACACCCAAGAUUGAACAGCUUUCUAAUAUGAUUGUAAAGUCUUGCAAAUGCAGCUAAAAUUCUUGGAAAAGUGGCAAGACCAAAAUUACAAUGAUGAUGAUAAUGAUGACGACGACGACAACGAUGAUGCUUGUAACAAGAAAACAUAAGAGAGCCUUGGUUCAUCAGUGUUAAAAAAUUUUUGAAAAGGCGGUACUAGUUCAGACACUUUGGAAGUUUGUGUUCUGUUUGUUAAAACUGGCAUCUGACACAAAAAAAGUUGAAGGCCUUAUUCUACAUUUCACCUACUUUGUAAGUGAGAGAGACAAGAAGCAAAUUUUUUUUAAAGAAAAAAAUAAACACUGGAAGAAUUUAUUAGUGUUAAUUAUGUGAACAACGACGACAACAACAACAACAACAACAACAACAACAAAAAACAGGAAAAUCCCAUUAAGUGGAGUUGCUGUACGUACCGUUCCUAUCCCGCGCCUCACUUGAUUUUUCUGUAUUGCUAUGCAAUAGGCACCCUUCCCAUUCUUACUCUUAGAGUUAACAGUGAGUUAUUUAUUGUGUGUUACUAUAUAAUGAACGUUUCCUUGCCCUUGGAAAAUAAAACAGGUGUAUAAAGUAGAGACCAAAUACUUUGCCAGAAACUCAUGGAUGGCUUAAGGAACUUGAACUCAAACGAGCCAGAAAAAAAGAGGUCAUAUUAAUGGGAUGAAAACCCAAGUGAGUUAUUAUAUGACCGAGAAAGUCUGCAUUAAGAUAAAGACCCUGAAAACACAUGUUAUGUACCAGCUGCCUAAGGAAGCUUCUUGUAAGGUCCAAAAACUAAAAAGCCUGUUAAUAAAAGAAACUUUCAGUCAGAAUAA